rnacentral:rRNA from 1 species
UUGAACGCUGGCGGCAGGCCUAACACAUGCAAGUCGAGCGGUAGCACAGAGAGCUUGCUCUCGGGUGACGAGCGGCGGACGGGUGAGUAAUGUCUGGGAAACUGCCUGAUGGAGGGGGAUAACUACUGGAAACGGUAGCUAAUACCGCAUAAUGUCGCAAGACCAAAGUGGGGGACCUUCGGGCCUCAUGCCAUCAGAUGUGCCCAGAUGGGAUUAGCUAGUAGGUGGGGUAACGGCUCACCUAGGCGACGAUCCCUAGCUGGUCUGAGAGGAUGACCAGCCACACUGGAACUGAGACACGGUCCAGACUCCUACGGGAGGCAGCAGUGGGGAAUAUUGCACAAUGGGCGCAAGCCUGAUGCAGCCAUGCCGCGUGUGUGAAGAAGGCCUUCGGGUUGUAAAGCACUUUCAGCGGGGAGGAAGGCGAUAAGGUUAAUAACCUUGUCGAUUGACGUUACCCGCAGAAGAAGCACCGGCUAACUCCGUGCCAGCAGCCGCGGUAAUACGGAGGGUGCAAGCGUUAAUCGGAAUUACUGGGCGUAAAGCGCACGCAGGCGGUCUGUCAAGUCGGAUGUGAAAUCCCCGGGCUCAACCUGGGAACUGCAUUCGAAACUGGCAGGCUAGAGUCUUGUAGAGGGGGGUAGAAUUCCAGGUGUAGCGGUGAAAUGCGUAGAGAUCUGGAGGAAUACCGGUGGCGAAGGCGGCCCCCUGGACAAAGACUGACGCUCAGGUGCGAAAGCGUGGGGAGCAAACAGGAUUAGAUACCCUGGUAGUCCACGCCGUAAACGAUGUCGAUUUGGAGGUUGUGCCCUUGAGGCGUGGCUUCCGGAGCUAACGCGUUAAAUCGACCGCCUGGGGAGUACGGCCGCAAGGUUAAAACUCAAAUGAAUUGACGGGGGCCCGCACAAGCGGUGGAGCAUGUGGUUU